rnacentral:rRNA from 1 species
CGGUGAGUAACGCGUAGGUAACCUACCUAUUAGAGGGGGAUAACUAUUGGAAACGAUAGCUAAUACCGCAUAACAGUAUGUAACACAUGUUAGAUGCUUGAAAGAUGCAAUUGCAUCGCUAGUAGAUGGACCUGCGUUGUAUUAGCUGUAGGUAGGGUAAAGGCCUACCUAGGCAACGAUACAUAGCCGACCUGAGAGGGUGAUCGGCCACACUGGGACUGAGACACGGCCCAGCUCCUACGGGAGGCAGCAGUAGGGAAUCUUCGGCAAUGGGGGGAACCCUGACCGAGCAACGCCGCGUGAGUGAAGAAGGUUUUCGGAUCGUAAAGCUCUGUUGUUAAGGAAGAACGAGUGUGAGAAUGGAAAGUUCAUGCUGUGACGGUACUUAACCAGAAAGGGACGGCUAACUACGUGCCAGCAGCCGCGGUAAUACGUAGGUCCCGAGCGUUGUCCGGAUUAUUGGGCGUAAAGCGAGCGCAGGCGUUAGAAAAGUCUGAAGUGAAAGGCAGUGGCUCAACCAUUGUAGGCUUUGGAAACUGUUUAACUUGAGUGCAGAAGGGGAGAGUGGAAUUCCAUGUGUAGCGGUGAAAUGCGUAGAUAUAUGGAGGAACACCGGUGGCGAAAGCGGCUCUCUGGUCUGUAACUGACGCUGGG